rnacentral:tRNA from 2 species
AGCCGGAAUAGCUCAGU